CAUGCGCGGACCCUGCCCGGCUCCUGCCCCGUGUCCCUCCCCCCCGCCUCUUCCUUCCCGCCUUUGCCAUGGCGACACCGAGUGGCCUGAUCCGGGCCCUACACCGCGGGACCCUCGGCCAGAACAUGGUCAUGGAUCGGAUUUUCUCUGGUAUCCAGCCGACUGGGACCCCUCAUCUGGGUAACUACCUUGGAGCCAUUCAGAACUGGGUGAAUCUGCAGGAAGAGUGCAGCUCAGUGCUCUAUAGCAUUAUGGACAUGCACUCUUUCACCAUGCCCAAGGAGCCAGCUGUCCUGCGCCAGAACAUCCUGGACACCACUGCUGCCAUCCUUGCCUGUGGGAUUGACCCCAACAAGUGUCUCCUCUUCCGGCAGUCACUGGUUCCUGAGCAUGCAGAACUUGCCUGGAUUCUUGGGUGCUUAACUAAUGUGCCACGUCUGCUACGUUUGCCCCAGUGGAAGAUGAAGCGUGCCAGCCAGAAUAGCGAAGGAACUGUUGGUUUGUUGACUUACCCUGUGCUUCAAGCAGCAGAUAUUUUACUGUACAAGUCAACACGUGUUCCUGUUGGAGAAGAUCAAGUCCUGCACCUGGAACUAGCCCAAGAUAUAGCACAACAUUUCAACAAGAAAUAUGGAGAAUUCUUUCCUGUGCCCAAAGCCAUUUUAAGUACAACAAAGAGAAUAAAAUCCCUCAGAGAUCCAUCAGCCAAGAUGUCCAAGUCAGACCCGCAGAAGUUAGCCACCGUUACCAUAGCAGACAGCCCAGAUGAAAUAGUGCUGAAGUUCCGCAAGGCUGUGACUGACUUCACCUCGGAGGUGACCUACGAGCCCGCCGCCCGCCCCGGUGUCUCCAACCUGGUGUCCAUCCACGCCGCAGUGACGGGGCUGAGCAUCAAAGACGUGCUGCACCAAGCCACUGGUCUCGACACUGCUCACUACAAAAUGGUGGUGGCAGAGGCCGUUAUCCAAAAAUUUGCACCUAUCAGGAGUGAAAUCAAGAAACUCCAGGAAGACAAGUCUCAUCUGAUAAAGGUUUUAGAGGAUGGAGCAGAGAAAGCCAAAGAACUGGCUGCUCCUAUCUAUCAAGAGAUAAGGAGAUUGGUGGGAUUUCAAUAGAAGCUGCUGAGUAGUUGCAAGGACUUUUGUAUCAUGGGACAGAGAUUUUGUUAUUUAUAACAAAAUCAUUUAUUAAUUAUUAAUCAUUUUUGUUUAAAACAAAAACUUUUUCUCCUGGAUGACCCAAGGAGAAUGUUGAAGGUGAUUGCAUUAAAAAAUGUGCAUGAAGCCAGGUAUUUCCUGUGGGACCAGCAUUAAGCUUGUCUGGCUAGGCAAAGAGGGAGGACAGAAGCAAUCACAAUUCACAAAGAAAUUGUGCAAAAGCAGAUUAUAAGGUUGCCUGUGUGGGUUUUUGGAUUUUUCCACUGACCACUGCAAGAAGCUGAAGUGUAGGGAUCUGAAGAAGAGAACUGCCAUGCAAGAGCUUGAUGAUGACAGAUUUUCUAAAAUUAGUCAAGACUAGAGAAGCAGAGUGGAUGGAGACAGACUGAUUGGAACCAAACUCAGUGUAGACAAGCCUAAGGUAAAUUCGACAGUAGCUGCAAGAAGAAUGUCAAUGUAUUGUGUAGUCAAAAGCCUUGAAAGGACCCAUACAUCUCUCAUCUUUUCUAAAGUCUCUUACAUAGUGGGGCUUUACUGUUAGCAUCAGCCAGUUUUGCGAAAAAUGCUGCAGCAAAACUGUAGUCAUAUGUGACAUUAAUUUAUGUGCUUAAAGCUUUGGUGUUUUGGUUUGGAUUUUUUUUUUUUGCUCACUCAGCUGUGACAGAAGACUUACUAAAUAUUGAAUUCCCAAUGAAGCUUUUUAUCACACAGUUCUGUCCAGAUGACAGCUGAAGUAAUGGAAAAUUCUCUUUAAUAUCACAAAAGAUUCUGCUCUGAUUCUGUCUUUUCUGUUGUUCUGUUGGUUGUGCUAAUGGUCAUAUUGUGGAAAGUUUGACAUGUAAGUAUUUAUUGUGUGUCAAUAAGAAAUAAUUUUACCUGCAACAGUCCCAUAUUGUUAUGAAAAUGGAAGAUUCACUGAUCAUUUCACUUGUAGGCAGCUGCCUCGGUGUCACAAUUAUUUUAUAUAAAACCAAAUGCCAACCUCCUGCACAGGUGAAGUAAAUAGUUUAACACCUGGGAAGAUGUUCUGCCACUGUUGUAAAUUCCUGUCACAGAACACCAUGACUGAAGAUGAGAUUAUCCACUGCAGGAGUGGGCUCGUGCUGCCUGUGGACAUAAAAUUAAGCACUGAGCUUAACGUCUGUUGUGCUGUCAUGCUCUCAGCAUUCCAGCAUGGCUGUGAGAUGGGAGCAGAGCAAAUCUGUGCCACACCAGAAGGCUCAAUCAGUUCCAGAUGUGCUGCAUUUGCUGUAUGUGCAAGAUGAAAUGUCAAGACAAGAGCUGCAGAACAAAAAUCCUUAAAAGUUAUUAAAUGUUUGGAAGUAACAGCAUGCUUGUAAAGCUUGGCUUAUAAAGCCUGUGAUAGCAUGGUCUUAGCCUCACUCAUAGAGCUGACAGGAGCAGUCACACAGCUGAGUGUGAUGGUGGCAUAAGGUAAGCCAUCUGCUUCCUCAGUACAAUAGUGUAAAGACAGUGUGAGUCUAAUUUGAGGGGUUACUGGAUUAACCCUCACAGGUGGGAAAUAAUAGCUUAUGGCAGAGCAAGGUAGUACCACAUCUCUCUUGUGUCCUGAACCAUUCUGAAACCAGAUGCUCACAGCUCAGGUGGGGACGCAGAGCAUGGAGAAGAUGUUGUAUGGACAGUGUCACUUGUCCCAUGUGCUGUUGUAUCUAUGACUCUGCAAUUCCUCCAGUUUCAGUUUGGCGUGACUUUAUUGUCAUCCACCAAUGUGAAAUGAUGUUCACAUGCUGAUAAAAUCAAUGGAACUCUGGUUUAAACACUGGAUGUAUGUUCUCUACUAUCUUUGGUGAAAAGUUCUUUCCUGAUGCCCCAGGAUUUAUAGAAAGAAAUCAUUAAGGCAGAUAAGAAGAAACUUACCAAAACAAGGCUACUUUCUGGCAUUAUCCAGAGUUUCUGGUGUAGGUGGUUUCUGGCUUCAUUCACCCUGUUUACCUUCAUGCUUCAUCCCCUAAGCCACAUCUUUCUCUGAGUAAAGUAAAACCUGUAUGUUCAA